CCCCGGCACCCUCCCCCCAGCUCACCGGCCUGGGAUUCCUGCCUUCUAGGUAUAGGCCCGGUGAGAGAUUCCACACAGCGG
rnacentral:miRNA from 1 species